UCGGUCUCCCGCUUGAGAAAUGCCACAUGC
rnacentral:piRNA from 1 species